AGAAUUUGAAAUAUCACCCAACCUCUGGUCAUUUUAUCAAUUUUUCCUUUGAUAUCUCCCUGCCUGAACUCAACAAUGCCUUCUAAAACCCAGAAGUGGUUAUCAGUAAACAAUAGCAAGCUUCAGAAGCAGCCCUUUAGUUCUGUCUCAAAGAGCAGGAAAGAGCUCCUAAUUAUCAGAAAGAGUGCAGAAAUUUCCUUUUUUUCUCCCUUUUCCUCCUGCUCUCUCACCCCUCAGCCCUCAAGCAAUCUCAUGGCAGCUGCUGUAGAAACUGCAGUGAGAGUUCACAGGGGCCAAAACUCUGAGAGUGGAGAGCCUUCCCCUCUGGAACAAGAUGUCUCCAGAGUUAAAUACAUGAAUUAAAUGCAAUUUCAAUGGAUGUCCCAAUGUUUUAAAUUGAAUAACAUGACUUUAAAGAAGAUAUGGGAAACUUCAACUCCCAGAAAAAUGAAGUAGAUACAUACUUCUCUAUUCCUUCCACUAAGUACAACUGAAAACCGUGACACUAUAUAUAAAACAAACAUAAGAAGACUCUGAAAGGCAAGAAUGGGUUUUCUUUUGCCUCCUUUAUUCCAGACUUGUAACUGAAGAAGCCAUCAACCAAGAAAUUUCCAACAGACCCAGAUGGAAAAAGUCCCAGUGAAAGCCUGUUCUUUAGCCAAAGGGGCCAGAAAAGAGCAAGAUAGCAGGACAAGAUCUCUGCCAUCAUGUGAGAGAGAGCCUGAGUUAGCCUGCUGGAUGGUCAAAGAUGAGUGGUGCAGCUAAGUGAAAGCCUGCUGACUUGUAGACAUAUGAGUAAGGCCAUGCUUGAUCACCUGGCUGCCAGCUGGCCUGCCAACUAAUUGCAGGUACUUGAAAGAGUCCAGCAGAGAUCAGCCACCCCAGGUCAAAUAAACACCCAGCCCCCUCCCUGAGAAUGAUGAACUAAAUAAAUGUCUUAAGUACUAAGUUUUGGGUGUUUGCUACAUAGCAAAAGCUAAUUGAUACUGUUCCCAAGGAGUGGAAAACUUCUGUAACAAAAAACAAAAAAUUCUGGCAUUGGUUUUGGGAUUGGGCAAUGGGUAGAGGCUAGAAAAAUGGCAAGGAAGCUGCCAUAGCAACCUAGAAAAAUGGCAACCCAUGCUAUAAAAUAGGGCAAUUGGUCAAUAAUUUUUGAAGUGGUUUGUUAUGCAGCAAUAGCCUACUGAUACACCAUGUGAAUUAUAGCAAGGAAUAGCUAAGGCAAAACAAAACAUUGGAUGAGUAGCAUAGUUCAUUCUAAAGAACCACUAAGGCUUGCUCAGGAAUAUGUACUAAUUCAGGUGGCAUCUGUUAACUAUCACUGAGCAUAAUAUUGGAGGAUAAAUCUGCUUUGCUUAUUGCCACCCCCGUAGCUUAGAAGCUACUCCUAAAACAGCAAGGAUGUCACUGUGGCAGUGGGCAAGGAUUAAUUCCCUCAUUUAUUUAUUCAUUUAUUAAUUCAACAAA
rnacentral:lncRNA from 1 species